AGCGAACGCUGGCGGCAGGCCUAACACAUGCAAGUCGAACGAACCUUUCGGGGUUAGUCGCGGACGGGUGAGUAACACGUGGGAACGUGCCUUUAGGUUCGGAAUAACCCAGGGAAACUUGUGCUAAUACCGUAUGUGCCCUUCGGGGGAAAGAUUUAUCGCCUUUGGAGGGGCCCCCGUCUGAUUAGCUAGUUGGUUGAGGUAAUGGCUCACCAAGGCGACGAUCAGUAGCUGUUCUGAGAGGAUGAGCAGCCACAUUGGGACUGAGACACCGCCCGAACUACUACCGGGGGGAGCAGUGGGGAAUCUUGCGCGAUGGGCGAAAGCCUGACGCAGCCUAGCCACGCGAAUGAUGAAGGUCUUAGGAUGGUAAAAUUAUUUCUCCGGGGGCGAUAAUGACGGUACCCGGAGAAGAAGCCCCGGCUAGCUUCGUGCCAGCCGCCGCAGUAG
rnacentral:rRNA from 1 species